CAUGACUGUUAGGAAGCACAUGACGACAAAUUCCCUGAAGAAGAGUGUGAAUCUUGCCUUGAGUCCUGCCGAUGACUGGCUCCCUGCCGAUGUCGGAUACAGGGAGGAGUACAGGAUGCAACACCUGGCACGAAGACCAACCUUCAAAUCCAAUAUUGUGGAUAUGUUCAAGCAGUGAAACAACAUAAACGAUCUAAGCUAUAUAGAGAAUCCCCAGGUCAAUCUAGAUUCAUACAAACACUGUUUUGAAAACUACAUUCAUGAGCCAGUGAAAUGUUACUGUGCUUCAUGUUGUUCAGCUAACUUCCCAGAUCACUCUCACUGAUUCACCCGGCAGCCCAGAAGUUGGAUAUCUGCUUUUGCGUACCCACCAUAAAAGAUAUAAACAAGUGUCAUAUAAAAACUGAAUAAAAUCAACCUCAUUGACCUAAUGUGACGCAAGGUACAUUUGUUCUGGUGUUGAAGAACAGUUGUCAACAAGAUACCCUACAUUUCUGCAAGAGACCUGUUCCUUUAACAA